rnacentral:rRNA from 1 species
AGCUUGCUUGUUGGGGUUGUAGGACUGAACAUUAGAGUUACCAAAGUGCGACGUAGUCGCAACAGUUGGGAAGCUGUGCCAUAGAGGGUGAAAGCCCCGUAGACGAAACGUCACACUCUCUGUUCAGGAUCCUGAGUACGGCGGGACACGUGAAACCCCGUCGGAAUCCGCGAGGACCAUCUCGCAAGGCUAAAUACUCCCUAGUGACCGAUAGUGAACCAGUACCGUGAGGGAAAGGUG